rnacentral:rRNA from 1 species
UACGUAGGGGGCUAGCGUUGUCCGGAAUCAUUGGGCGUAAAGCGCGUGUAGGCGGUCCGGUAAGUCCGCUGUGAAAGUCGGGGGCUCAACCCUCGGAUGCCGGUGGAUACUGUCGGGCUUGAGUACGGAAGAGGCGAGUGGAAUUCCUGGUGUAGCGGUGAAAUGCGCAGAUAUCAGGAGGAACACCAAUUGCAAGGCAGCUCGCUGGGACGUUACUGACGCUGAGACGCGAAAGCGUGGGGAGCAAACAGG